rnacentral:lncRNA from 1 species
GAGAUAGCCCAGUGAAGGCAGCUACCCAUUUACUCCUUGAGAUAGCCCAGUGAAGGCAGCCAUACAUUUAUUCCCUGAGAUAGCCCAGUGAAGGCAGCCACCCAUUUAUUCCCUGAGAUAGCCCAGUGAAAGCAAUUGCUGCAGUUUGAACGUGAAAUAUCUCACAUACAUUCAUGCAGUUUGAACACUCACCCCAUCGUUGUGAUGCUGUUUUGGAAGGUUCUGGAACACUCAGGAGAUGGCACCCCACUGGAGGAAGUGUUGAAGUUACCAAGUAAAUACCUGUUGCUUACACUGCUGCCCCCACUUUCAGGGCGAGCCCCCUACAACCCUGGUUAGGGAUAAAGCUCUGCAGAGCUAUCUAUCUUAGCCUCUGCACUUACCUAGCCCAUCUGGUACCUCAAGAUCUCCCCAAGCAAGGAUUCAAUGAAACUGAUGAAGCUCCUGGGUUGCCAUGGAGAUGCAAGGAUACAUCUAACUGGAAGUAAGAACGAGAGAAGUUGACCAUACAGCUUCCCCCGGGUGACUCCUGAGCAUGUUCUCCAAUUACCCUUAGCAUCUGGAGUCAGUGACUUUCCUGGCUCUCACAAAAACCCUGAGACUGAAUUUCCUCAUCCUGGCCAACAGGUUACCUCGUUUUCACCCAGUGCUGCCACGGGCCCUUUACACGGAGCAAGUCAGUUCCCCUCUCACCUCUUUUGUUUUGUGAGCUGGUAAUUCUGAAACACCUGGUAAACAAGAGCAAGAAUCUGAUUUUCAGUGAUUACCAAAAACCAUUUAGUGUCUGUGAUAAAGUCGUACCAGGGCUUUGGUUGGCCAGAUAUAUAUCCACCUAGCAUCUUCCUAGGCCAAAGAGCAGAGGGCUGUAACCAGCAUCUGAGGAGUCAUAGUGACACCACCCCUUAGAGCUGAGGAGAUGGUUCGGCCAACAAGGUGCCUCCUCCAAAAGCGUGAGGCUCUGAGUUAGGAUCCUCAGCAUCCGCGUAAGAAGGCAGGCACGGCUACACGUCUGUAAUCCCAGCACUAGGAAGGUGGAUCCCUGGAGUUCAUCAGCCAGCCAACCAAGUCAAACUGAUGAGCUACUAGAGCGAUCUAUCUCAAGAAGUAAAGCCGAAGGCAACUGAGAAAGACAGCCAACAUCGACUUGCAUACACAUGCGCACCACACCCAUCAUUGACCAGCAUGGACAUGCGCACCACACACAUCAACCUGCAUGCACAUGCGCAUCACACACUUUCCUUCUCAAGGACCUGUGAACAUAUAAGCACCAACAAUCCUUUCAUGGCUUCUCGGGACCAGGAGCCAAGCUGGAGACUUUGCUCUACAAUCAUUUCCUUCCCCGGCUCAUUUUCUAAUCCAAACAUUUGAGGAUGAGGUAUCUGGGUCCUUAUUUAAGCCAUCAACUGGAAAGCAGUCAUCGUCCCCGACACCUCAGCAAAGCACAGAGAUUUCCGCAGCCAUAAUAAAGGUCAGGAGAGGAAGAGACAGAGUUAUCUAAAUCCACAGCUGUAUCCAGGUUCAUGAAGAAUGGCAGAUUGAGUCUUGAGAAGCCAGUGGAGAACAAGAUGAAGGCAACACGUGUGCUGUUAUUUCUUCUUUCCUCCAUCCCUCUUCCUUUCCUGUUACAACAACAACAGUAAUCACAGCAAGUAAAAACAGCAAGCCUGUGACCCCUCUGAACCGAUGGUAUCCAUCCCUCAACAGACGCUCCUCCCACUCCCAGACAAUCUCUCCAGUUCUUUUUAUGCAUAAAUGAAGGAGCUUAGACCAGGCAGGCUCUAUGGCUGUGAAGCUCAUUGGUAGAAGCUGGCCUGUGUCUGAUUGCCUCCCUCCCCCCUUAGGAAGAAGGAAGAGUAAGAUUUCUCUUCUGGAACCUCUAGGCCUAUUUCUUUUAAUAAAAGAACAGCAAGUAUGUGCUCCGUAGCAUUCGGAGACAGUGGCUGGGGACUUUGAGUAGGGAGGCAUACAGUUGAUAAAGGCAAGAUUCAGGCCCUUAUCAUUCCUACUAUAAGGUCACCUCCCUGCAGCCUUGCUGAGGAGACAAUGCCUGGCCUGAUUUUCACUGAUGUUCAGCUAUACCAUAAACUUUUUUUGUUCACACUGG